UGCAGGCUGAUGGUGGACAUUUUUCUGCUGAAAAUUCUGGUUGCAUGUUUUUUAUUGCCCCUUUUGUGAGCUAUAUUUCACUACUCUCUUAAUUAAAUCGUAUUUUUUUUUUGGUAAAGUUGAUGUGAGAAGAAAAUAAUCAAUAUGAUGCAAAAACAUAUCAGGUAAUAUAUGCUUAUAUAUCACUGGUCAUCUAGAUGAAAUCUUCUCUCAAGAGCAUCGUAAAGAGAUGAUGCGUUACAUAUAUAAUGCACCAUUUUAUUCAUUUUUGCUAAGUGAGUAAGUGACAUCACUACUUUUUAUCAUUCUUCUCCAAAAAUGGAUCAAAUCUUAUUUACCUAGCUUGAAUCUCCGGCGAUCUUAUGGAGAUGGUAACAACGAGCUUCUCAAAAUCGAGCCUAUGUACCUUCAAUUCCCUUUUGAAUUGAAGAAGCAGAUGUCUUGCUCUCUUAACUUGACGAACAAGACAGACAAUAAUGGGGCCUUUAAGGUAAGAAGUUUUCGGAAUCGUUAACUUGUUGUUGAUUAUCUCUUGUGUUUCUAAGGCUUCUAGGGGUUGUUUCUUUUUUCUUUUAAUUUAAGGUUAAGACGAAAAAUCCGAAAAAUUAUUGCGUUAGGUCUAAUUAUGGACUAAUUCUUCCAAAGUCAACUUGUAAAGUUCUUGGUCCGUUCUCUAAUCUUUUUUUUGGGGAAACAUUUUUUUUGCUUCAGCUGCUAAACUGGUUCUUGUAUUAGGAAUUUGAUGAAUCUUUUUUGGUGUUUGUCUAGUGACAAUGCAAGCCCAAAAGGAAGUUCUUAAUUCUGAUAUGCAGAGCAAUGAAAAGUUUAUGAUUCAAAGUGUAAUAGCUAGUCCUGGACUCACAGCCAAAGAAGUUACUCGUGAGACGUUAAGGAAAGAAUCGGGGCAUCUAGUUGAGGAGACUAAACUGAGAGUUACUUAUGUUUCCUCCACCACGACAACAUCACCAAUUCACCAAGGACCAGAAGAGGGUUUAUAUUUUAGUGUUUUUGUUAGAUAUUUUCUCUUUACUUCAUUGUAGAUAUUCAUCACCAGUAACAGUACUCUUACCGAUGUCUCUUGCUGUGGUGUUGGAGCUGCUUGCCACGAGCUCGAAAUAGCGACUCGUAAAAAUCGAAGGAAUUUGUACAAUAAUUUGUUUGUAAAAUAAUUAUGAGCUCAUAAUCAUUUUGUAUAUAUGUAUUAAUGACCAUCUAGAUAAUCAUAUCCUUUAGAUGUAAAGGAUGAUCUUCAAAGGUUUGAGUUUGGACUGUACAUAUUUAGAAACUUAUUUCUAAAACUAAUCUGAACAAAUUUUACA